UCGCGUUGGCUUCAAUUUGAGCUAGAAAUCAGCCAAUAAGGAGAAGAUUUUAUGUGGUGCUGCAAAUUUAAGGUUGAGACAAUAUUGGACAACAUAUACGUAUAAACGCUAAAGGUACAGAUACUCAUUUCGGAGAGUCGCCAGCUUAGGAUUCUACUCAACGAGUUUGAAGUGCUCCAUUGUCUCGGAGCCCAAACUUUGGGUACUAAUCCUUAUAAUGUAUAUAUUUGUGUAUUU